GGGAGAUGAGGAAAGUGAGAGAACAGGGCCUUUUCUGUGUUUUAUUUCUAAUCCGCAGGAAUCCAUUUUAGCCUUUUAUGGCUGUUGCACUUGCUGACAGGAUUUACAUUCUCCGUAUGUUAUCUGAAACAUCACAAUCUGUGGCUGUGGGAUUGUUUCAUGCCUGGGUUAAAAACACGCCAGCGCUUCUGGGAGGCUGCGGGGAGGCAGACAGAGAGCGGGGGAACGAGAAAGCAUUGCAAAAAGGGAGAGAAGGGGAAAGAAGGAGCCGAGCGCUUUGCAGGAGCUGCUGCUGGCAGAGUUCGUGCCCCAGACAAACUGAUGGUUACGCGAAGCAGGGAAGGUAUUACGAGCCCUUUGAUUGCAGCGACGUUGCAGCGCAGUUCUGCUCUAGGAAAGCAGCUGCGGAAAAAAGACAGCGCUCUUCUGAGUGUCCAGAGCCCCUCUGUGACUGGCCUUGGAGCCGAAGUACAGGGGACACCGUGCACCCGUCACAGCUCCAUGGGACGUACGGCUGUGCCGGGGUGCUGCCUGGAUACAGAAGUUUCCUUCUUCAAGUGCUCCUUGAGAAUAUCUUCAUUUUUAAGGGCCUCUUUGGAAGAAACAGAAGAUGAUGGCAUUAAAAUGCUGACUUUGUCAGUCGUUGGUUGAGAGGGGUUGAUGGUUGGACCUCGUGAUCUCAGAGGUCUUUUCCAACCUUAACGAUUCCAUGAUUCUAUAACAUAAUGCUGCUUUCCAAUAGCUGCAAAUACUGUGGUGCCUAUCGGGGGGAACCACGAAAGGACACUGGUCUUCCAUUGCCAUCAUCCCAUACGAUGAGCAGAGCCCAGACUCCCAGAAAUCAUGGAUCUCGUUUUAGUGUCUGGGCUGAUCUCCUUUGGCUCUUCUGGGUCUGCAGUUCUCUCUGAUAUCCCCCGCUCAGUCGGUAGACGUGUCUCUGAAUGCACAAGAAGGUGCCAUUCUACGUAGUUGGUUUUCUGAUCAUGACCAGACUCUAAGCUCUUAAGGUAGAGACUUCAGUUUUUUAAUAACUCACGGGAGAACCCAGGGAAAAUGUAAGUUUUAUGGAGUCUAGAGAAUAUUUUUAAAGGAUUUAGAUGUCUGGAAAAAGUGUCUUAGGAGGUUUAACUGCUUUUCAGUGGAAAAAAAGUACAUUAACAAAUAUUCUUGUUUCUUCGUUAGUCCCUUCCGGAGCAGAACAGCAGCCACGUGCUCUGAGAUCUGGGAUCAGGAGGCCGUGGGCCAUCUCCAAACUGGUGCCAGGCAGCGCAGCAUCGCAUGCCUUGCAGGGAGGACGUGCGCUUGCUGGAAGCGAGCACGUGAUGGGAAAAGGGAGAGAGAAAGAAGAAGGAAAGAAGGAUUGAGAUCACCAAAGUAAUUGGCUCGGAGGCCUGUGGAGCAGCAGCAGGUCGGGCUGUACAUUUGUCUGUCUCUCCGUCAAGUUGUACAGAGCCCAUGUCUGCCUCGGACUUCCCCAGAGCUGGAGUAAAUUAGGAGUGGCUCAGCGGGGUCAAGUGGGCUUAGUUGUCAUUUACACCAACACCUCUUUAUACAUUACGCCAGCUUCCAGCGCUGCCAGACUGGUGUGAGGGGACCUUCGUGGAAAUGAGAACCAGGCCCUGGAGGCUGUUCUACCAGGGCAGCACUCGCUAUCCCCAACCCUGAGCAUUCGGGCCAUGGGACUGCCCUGAAAUAAUGCAGAUUUAAACCUCUUUUUUUUUUGUGGGGGAUUUUUAUUUAUUUAUUUAUUUAUUUAUUUAUUGGUCUUAUGUCUUCUGUCCUUGGCUGCAAAGCCUGAAAAUGUUCUCUUUUGAAAUGUGAACAAACGAACGAAUGAUAACGUGUCAAGAAAUCACGGGACUCCAGCAGAUGGGGCUCAAAGAAAGGAAUGCCAAAAAAGCAGCAAACUGACGGUGCUGCUGGGUGCCACUCCGGGCAGGAUCACACCUUUCCCGUGGGCAGGACAUCUCAAUGCAUUUUGCCCUUCUCCUGGCUGCCACCUGGGUGACACUUCUUGGUUUCCAGGCACAUACUGCCUGACUGAAGCUGAGUCCUGAGACCCAAAAAUGGGUGCUGGCUCCGCUGCGGGGAGGCCAGACUUGGCCUUCAACCUGGUGGAAGCCCACAGCCACAAGGAGUGUAGUACCCUCACACAGGGCAUGGGCUUUUCAAACCCAAGAGCAAAAGAAGAUGGAAAAAAGAGUGAAAAAUUCAGCAAGGUUUUAACCCUGUGCUCUCCCAGCAGGUGUUUUUUUUGGCUUGGUUUUACAGCCAGAGCUGAGAUUUGAAAUUCCACCCAAACUUGGAAAUUCAAAGCCCAUUUUCCACUUCUGCAGUCGCUCGUUCUGCAAAGCAGAGGAGAAGGGACUUGCAAAAACUUUUGACUUGAGGUUUGCAGCAGGCCAGAAGUCAGCCUUUGUGCAGCUCACAGUUGGUCCAAGGAGAGGAAAAUGCCUGUGCCCCCAUAAUCCAGCUGUGCAGAGCUUCUCACUGAAUUACCCUUGUGUAAGACAUCUGAUGCAGUCUGUGUUAGAGUCGUGCCAGAAAGAAGGCUUUUCUUAGCCUCCGCAAUGUGUGGUCACAUGUGGUAAUGCAAAAUUAGUGCGAGAAUAUGGGACUUUAGGAAAGCCAGCUGUGUUGUCAGGGCUUGGCCUGCUGGUUGGCUUCAGCCCGAAGAAAGAGUUCAUUGCCAGCAUCCGCAGGCUUGAGGGCGACAGGGAAAGUCUGAUCUGCCUGCUGUAUUUCAGCCAUGCAAAAAGCUGGAUGGAUGCUUUUGUUUCAAUUUAUAUGCCCUAUUUCAAGUGAAUGAAAAAGGCCAAACCAGAGCCCCUCUGCCUUCUGCAUGUUUUUUCUUCAACUGAAUCUUCUUCCCACAUAGCUCUACCUCCUACCAACAGCAGUGCGGUCAGUGGAGAGGAAAGAUGCUGAAAAUGAUCCCUGCGUUAUCCAGAUCAGUGCAUCUCGUCCUGCCCUGCACUGCGGGCAGAACAUUGCUGAGAGCAGGGUGGAGAAAAGCGAGUGAUGUCCUACAGGUGGGGAAGGAACACCAACAGGUCCAAGGGACCGCAGUGCCCUGCAGCUCCCCAGCUCUCCACCUGUGAUGGGUGAGUGUGGGCUGGAGCCCUGGGCACCACAAGCUGCUUUGGGACUGCAGCCCUGAGAUCAGGGCUUUCUGAGAUGGGUAUUUACCCAGCGCAGGGCAUCGGGUUAAGUCUGGACAAAUGGAGACACUGGAAUUACUGAGUAAAAUGUCCUGGCCUGUCUUCUGCAGGAGGUCAUCUAGAUGAUCUGUUCGUCCCAUCUGGCCUUUAAAUCUACUAAUCUAUUUUCCCUUCCAGGAAAUAUAACUACAUUCUGAGAACAACAGCCCCUUAGGAAGAAGAAAAAAUAAGGAAAGAAAGCACGCCUUUGAAAAACAACAGCAAAGAAAAAAACCCUUCAACUAUAAAAUAAACUAAGGUACAAGAUGCAAUUAACAAUGCACAAACAGCAGAGCCCAGAAUGUAAAUUGUAUUUAAAUAGGGCUGUGAAGAAUGUUUCAGUCCCCUAAAUGGCUUCUCUCUCCUGCUGCCUUGAACCUCCAAUCAAGCCCUGCCUGGGAGUAAUUUGGUGCUGGAAAUUGUUGCCACACGAACAGCUGAAGGCUGGCAGGGUCACCGGCCCCCCGUGUCACACCCUGUCAUUUUAGAUUAAGAUAUGCAAAGGCGACACGGCUGCGAACUUUCCCUUUGCUGCCAUGGCUGCGUCCAUCCCCUCGACUGUAAUGAGAGGAAGGCGUAAUUGGAGUCAACUGCUUGAUUAUGAUAAUUGCUACUGUCUGGGGGAAGAAACAUUUGCGUCCCGGAGCUCGAUCCGCGCUGCACCUUUGGGGUGAUUGCUGUCUGUUCGCCGGCAGAUGGGCCCUGCACAGCAUCCCUCGGCCCCUGACCCCAACCCCACCACUUGUUGGCUCCUUCUCCCGCAGGGUCACGGGGCGUUGGGCUGCUCUCUGCCUCCCACCGGAGCGUCGCUCCUGAAGGAUUUAUCCCCUCAGAGGAAAAGAGCCUUUUGGAAAUUUAUCCCCAGCUCUUCACAGCAGCACAAGUGGGAGAUGAGGCGCCGUAUAUUUUCCGCUGGGAUAUUUAUGGCUUUCAUUGUACAUCCCAGCAACAAUCUGUGGGAAAUGCCUCCCGGGAGCUCAGCGGUCCGCCCGUCAGCAGGGAUGCUCUGGGCUCAGGGCAGAGGGAUGGCAGCGAGGAGAUGAGCGUGUGGUGCUCAGAGCACCCAGCACAGCUCUGUGCCACCUCCCAGCAGCUCCGUCUGUGCAUUGGUGCCAGUAACCUGCCCAGCAGUGGUGUGAGCGCAGAGGCACAUAAAGCCCACGUGUGUAAUUAAGGUGGCAAGAGGCAUUUCGUUAAUUAACGGCUAUUAUUUGUUAACAUCAAGCCUUAAGUGCAAAGCUCAACUCUAGCUGUGAAGCAAUAAGCACAGCCUGAGCAACAACAGUAACUAGCCAACAAAGUAAUUGGGUCGUUAUUUCCACGAUAUCUUAAAAGUUUAACAAGAUUUUCUUGUUUUAAACAUUCACAUUCCAGAGCGUGGAGGGGAAAGCACUGCCUGCAUGGAGGGAACGAUGUAAAAAUCAUUGGAAACAGAGCAGGGCUGCAGGUGAUGGGUGGGUUUUCUGCUGAGCAGGGAGCUGAGCCCCACUCACAGCCAGGUGUGUGGGUCGGGGCUGCAGCGUGCCGUGCUGGUUGUGCACAGGGAUGGUGGGCAGGGGAGGCAUGGGCAGCUAGCUCCUGUUCUGCUGCGUUUAGGAAGUGAGCUCGUUUGAGUGAGUAUGAUUUUCCUCUUUGUUACUAACAAGGUGCCUUUCUGUGGGGUCCUGGUGGGCUCUGUGUUAGCGGAGGGAUCAUGUUGAGCAGCAGGAGGGUGUCCCAGCACCAGGGUCAGGCACGGAUGGAUCCCCGUGCAGUGUGAUAAGAGAGGAAGACGUUUAAUCUGCUUUCCAGGGUAGAUUAAGAGCCCCCGUAGACUGUAGCUAUGCAACAGCGUGCGUCUGACAGUGCAGAGCUCUGAGCAAAGGUGUAGCUGUUGUGAUAAAACAACUGCCUGCAUUUCAUUAACAAAACAGUGCCAAAGUGUCAUUAAACAAUGGAGGGCUCUAAAUAAAUAACCCUGGGACUGCUUGCCAGGCAGAGUGAGUCAGGAGGAGACCACUGCAGCUGUACCUGUGCACCCACAUACCUCAGUGCAGAGGGAGAAUCCAGAGGGUCUCACACCCACCUGAAGGGCCGGACCUGCAGCUCUCACUGCUGUUCUGCUUGGUGCUUGUUUCCACGAGAAGUAAUCCGGCCACUUUGCAAGCAGGUGUGUUAGCUUAGAUCUGCAGGAGAGGAGCAUUUGCUGUGAACACAGCUCGUAUCUGUGCAGAUAGUGCUGGCAGGAGCUCUGCCUGGCUGCCCGCCUGGCUGGAGGCUUGUGUGUACCUAGGAAAUGGCUUGCCAGCUCUAACCUAUUCAUUCAAAGUCAGCCUUCAGUUAGAGCUCACACCCUUUCCUCCAGAAAAGAUUCAUGUGCUGUUACUCAUUUACUACUAUGGCCUUUUUUUGGCAUCGCCCUGGAACGCGGGCCGGCCGGCUGCAGAGCAGGCAGCCCCAGCUGCUGAGGGAGGUGCCCUGGUGGCACUCAGUGUGAUGAGUUGGGACCCUGCAGCUCGGGUCCGUGACACUGCUGACUCUAUUAAUUUAUGGGAUAACCCGUCCUUUGGGAGAGUUCCUUCCUAAUCUCCAUUAGUUAGAGAUUGCUUUAUCCUUUGCAGCAAGGAAUUUUCAUCCAUUUACUCUGUAAGCUUUCUUAAAGUUUAUCCGUGUGAUUCUGGAUAUCGUUUAUUUCAAUUUGUCUUUCUUUACUCUUUGUUCCAAACCCACUGCACCUCGGCCUCAGGAAUGUCCUGGGGAGUAAGCAGAGUCGGGUCUGCAGGUGAAUUCUCCCUCCACCUAUAAAUACGGAUUCUUUUGACAGUUUUGUUUUAUUCCACCAAAAAUUGCCAAAGUACACUCAGAGCCUGUUCUCUCACUGUAUUUUCUUUUUACAUAGGAAAUGCCGAAGGCAGCUGACAGAAACUUCUCGUAUAAUUGCAGCUUUAUUUUGCCAAAUUCUGAGCCGUCAUUUGCUGCCAGCAGUCCCACCUCUUCCAUCCAGGAGCUGGUGACAUUGAUGGAGCUGCAGAUCGGAAGCUGUUCCCUGGAUGAGGUGGGCAGCCUGCAGCCCUCGCCACGCUUUUCCCACCGCACUGCUGCCCGCCCUGAGGUCUGCUCCAGCACAGGGAGGUCUGGCACUCUUGAACCUGAGGUCAAAAACAAGAGGGAGGAAAAGAAUGGCCUUCAGGCCAGAGGAAGAAACCAGGGCAACCAGGCUCUUAACGUGAUAAAAGGGCUUUAUCUCAAAGCACUUAAACAAAACACACAAGCCUGAGAGAAGAGGCUCUGUCAAGUAUCCCCAGGGACAUGGGGAAAUUGCAAAUCCCCGCAGGACAGAGGGGCUCUUUCUUCACUGUGUGCAGAGCCAGGAGCUGGGGCUGGGCAGGUGAUGGGUGCUGGGGAAGGGAUGCAUGAGGGAUUUCCCAUUUGCAGUGGUGCAUGGGCACGGAUCAGACUGUGAGCUGUUAGAGAGUAGAUCAAGGGCACGGGGAGCGGGCAGCAGCGCUGGAGAGGGGCAGGAGGGAACGGCAGAUGGGACGUCCAGCAGCAGGUGGGCACGGUCCCAUCCCCUGUAUUUGGGGUGUCAGUGUACAUCAGUGCCACCUCUGUGCUUGGUG